GGAUAUGUAGCUUAGUGGUCGAGCACUUGGCUGGCAUGCAUGAUACCCUGUGUUUAAUCCUCAGCACAACCA
rnacentral:tRNA from 1 species